rnacentral:rRNA from 1 species
GAUGAACGCUGGCGGCGUGCCUAAUACAUGCAAGUCGAGCGAACAGACGAGGAGCUUGCUCCUCUGACGUUAGCGGCGGACGGGUGAGUAACACGUGGAUAACCUACCUAUAAGACUGGGAUAACUUCGGGAAACCGGAGCUAAUACCGGAUAAUAUAUUGAACCGCAUGGUUCAAUAGUGAAAGACGGUUUUGCUGUCACUUAUAGAUGGAUCCGCGCCGCAUUAGCUAGUUGGUAAGGUAACGGCUUACCAAGGCAACGAUGCAUAGCCGACCUGAGAGGGUGAUCGGCCACACUGGAACUGAGACACGGUCCAGACUCCUACGGGAGGCAGCAGUAGGGAAUCUUCCGCAAUGGGCGAAAGCCUGACGGAGCAACGCCGCGUGAGUGAUGAAGGUCUUCGGAUCGUAAAACUCUGUUAUUAGGGAAGAACAAAUGUGUAAGUAACUGUGCACAUCUUGACGGUACCUAAUCAGAAAGCCACGGCUAACUACGUG